UCAUCUUUUACUUAUACACUCUUACAUUCAUCAUUCAACGGUUCAGAUCAUCCGCGUAAAAUCCGAACGGUUCAGAUCGAUCCCACCUCCACCUCCCUCAAUCAGCGGACGACCCGCACGCCCCCCUCCCUAUCGCUCUCCCACCACACCUGCACCUCCGCCCUCCGCCGGAAUUCCACUCCUGCACCUCCGCCAUCAGUGCUCCGCUCCGUAUCAGCCGUCGCGCCGUCCUCUGCAUCGCAUGUCUGCCACCGAUCCCCGCCGCCGGCUCACCUCCACGAUCCUCCGCCUCCCCGCUGCACGAGGUCCUCCCGUCGCCAGGUCGUCGCCGCCGUUCUGCUCCACCGAUCCCCGCCGCACGAGGUGCUCCCGUCGCUAGGUAGCCACCGCGCCGUCCUCUGCAUCGCCUAUCUCCACCAAUCCCCUCUACAUCGCAGGGGUGAGCUGCAGCUAUGGAGUUCCUCGCCGGUGGGGGAGCAGCAGGUGAAUCCCGUGAGAGAGUACAAUGAACGCGGGGUGCUCGGCAAAAUGUCCCGUCUGGCUCCUCACCUGCAAUGCAUGUGUUCUGGAGAGUGUUUAUGGAUUCUGGAUCUUAGACCCCCUCAACGACUUGGAUCGUCAGUAAAGCUUCAUCUUGAAGGUUGACAUGGGAACUUUACUAGCAGAGGAAUGGGCUUAUAUUCUUGGAAAAAAUACAUUUCUCCAUGCAGAAUGUGAUCACAAUAAUGAUACUUGCUGCCAUGAUUUCUAUCACUCAUGCACGCAUUGCCCUUGAUGAUUGUAUGCAGUUGGGAUAUAUUGUCAUCAAGCAAGAAAAUCCUUGGCGAUUCUGGUUUAUAUGACUUCCUGGAAGCAGUAGGAACAACAAGAGUUACUGAACCAGAAAUUGAACUUGCCUUCUUCAUGCAUCAGAUGAACCAUAAAGGGAACAACACUACUACCCUCUCCAAAAUUGAGCUGCUCAGGACUUCGUAGAAAUUUACAGCUUUAGGACAUGUGAUUUAUCCAUUCUCUUUUACUGUUUAUUCUAAAAUGCAAAAAAAAGAAAUUUUGUUGUAGCUUAGAUUAAGGCAGCCUCAGCUUUGUGGUUUGCCAAGCCAUGUACUGAUAUAUGAAUGUGAUACUUUAAUUAAUGUUGAAACGCAUGAUUAUGUAUUUG
rnacentral:lncRNA from 1 species